UGAAAGAAUGUGUCGUUGAUUUUGAGAAGUCAGUGUGACUGGCUAUUGAAAAAGAGUUUGGUAUUGGUGUUAAAAUAUUUGGAUGUGGCUUCCAUUGGACCCAGUGUAUUUUUCGCCGCAUAAAAUCAUUGGGUUUAAUAAGAGCAUAUCGUACAGACAUGCGAAUUCGUGGGAUUUGCAAGAAAAUGAUGUCUCUCCAUCUCCUCC